AAGUGGGCCAAGAUCCCAACCAUCGUGAUAGAAGACUAAUCUGGAUGACGCAUCUCAAAGGCUUCAGCUUCUCUUGAAACAAGCACAGUUCUCUAUCAUUCGUCAUAUUUCAACCUGGGAUGCAUGUCCAAUGGAAGUCAAUAUUGGAGCUAGGGGACAAGGGAACAUCAAUUGAGCAUCAGGCAUUGUCUUCCCCCCUACCCUUCAGAUACAUCAGUGAUUAGUUGAGCAUGAGCUAGCAGAGUUAUAGCAUAGACCAAACCUAGGAGGGUACGAAAGAGGUCAAACACUUGAGGUGGUCAUACAUGUGCUUCCUCAGAUCGAUGCUCAACUUUCUAUCAAUUUUAGCCGUAUUCACCUUGAUUUUUUCAGGAUACAGAUGAUCAUUCAUGCCCACGUGAAUAGCUAAAGGGAUUCUUGGACUUCCAAUUCCAAUACUAGAUGAUCUUCACCACUAAGAUGUGAACCGCACCAGGCUGCUUGUACUGCUCGUAUUGAAGCUGCAUGCAUAAGCAUUCAUCAUGGCAUCUGAAUUUGGGAAACUGCAUAAGUACCAACUUGUAGAUUAUAUUAUAACUUGAAGUUCUUGGUUUUCAAGUUGGACUAUUAGCAAGUCUCGUAAAACCUUUUGAUUAAUUACAUGGACCGAGGACGGUCUAGUCAAGAAUAUCGAUCUCUUCCAUUGUCUGGACUUUAUUAGACUUACUGGGAAGCUAUGCAAGGUUAUGACAAUGAGCUGUCACUGGAGAAGUUAAACUUGGGAUUGUUCCUUUGGUCUAAGUAGGCUAUGCUAGCUUGUGUAUCCUUCUGCUCGUCUAAGUUAUAUCGUCAUUGUUUAUAUAGGUACAUAACUCCUGCCAUAGAAUUCUAAAUUUGCAUGUUUUAGUAUAUUUGGUGUUUAUCAGUAAUUAGCAAGGAAAAAGAAGUGAGAAUAUUGAUGCAUUAUAUAGACAUGAGAAUGAUGCAUCAGAUGGUUUUCUUGAGAGAUUAAUGUUUGAGUGUGAUAUAGGUGAUCAUGACUGUCAGGAGCUUAAGAGGUUACAAACAGCACCAGUUAGAGACAUGUUCUUAAAGCAUUGAAAGAAGGCAUGAGGUUACUGAAGGCUGCCAGUUUGAAGACCUUCCUGUUUGGUUAUGAUACUCUUC